GUCUACGGCCAUACCACCCUGAACGCGCCCGAUCUCGUCUGAUCUCGGAAGCUAAGCAGGGUCGGGCCUGGUUAGUACUUGGAUGGGAGAUA
rnacentral:rRNA from 1 species